GAAGAAUUGUUUUCAUUUCUGGGCUCGGUCUUUGAGUCUUUUGACUGCAUCUUGCACUAUUCUGGAUUGCUUGAGAUAGAAACAUUGUUUGUCUAGGAAGACGCAGAGACCCACCUUUUUCAAGGUGCAAUGAUUAGGCAAAAAAUUAUGGCAGUGAAGGCUCUCUGCUUGCUGUUCCACACUGAGGGGUCUACAGCACAUACACCUACUGCAAACGAGAGGGAGGAAGGCCAUUCCCACGAGGAGGAUGUGGGCCUCUGGAAUGGAUGUGAGAUGGAGUCUGGUUGGCCCGAGGACGACGCUGCAGUACUGACGAAUGGCUGGCGAGGAAGGAGUAGACGGACCAGUGGGGGCCUUGGGGACCUGUUUUAACGUGGAAAGAUGAUAUCAAGAAGGUAAUGAGAUGUAGGAUGGUGGACAAGACAGCAUUCAAAGACCCGGAAGUAGAAGGUGCCAUGCAUCUAACCAUCAUGGAAUCCACGCAACCACAGCACCCCUCUCCCCCUUGUUCUGUAAAUAGGAGGAUGACAAAGACAUAUUCUCUUUUUGUCGUUUUACGGUAUUCUGUCGGUAGCAAGUAACAAUAUUAGCAAUAAAAAGUAAAAUUAAAA